rnacentral:RNase_P_RNA from 1 species
UUUGCUGGGGGUGUGCUCGCUCGGAACGUUAGGUUUUUCGAGAGGAAAGUCCGGACAUCGAAGGGCGCGAUUCCAGAUGAAAGUCUGGGCUGGGAAAUCCUAAAGAUUCUCAGACGGAAAGUGCAACAGAAAAUAUACCGCCGAAAGGUAAGGGUGAAAUGGCGAGGUAAGAGCUCACCGUGGCUGGAGUGAUCCAGUUAGCAAUGAAAACCCAAUCAGAUGCAAGGCAGAAUAGGCGAGUGGGCUGCCCGUCCAAUGCUCGCGGGUUUGCCGCAUUCCGCAGGGAAAGUGAAAUUCACUAGAUAAAUGAGCACAGCGACGAAGGUCGAACAGAAUCCGGCUUAUAACCCAGCAAAACAU